rnacentral:rRNA from 1 species
CCUACGGGAGGCAGCAGUGGGGGAUAUUGCACAAUGGGGGGAACCCUGAUGCGGCGACGCCGCGUGGGUGAAGAAGCGCCUCGGCGCGUAAAGCCCUGUCAGCAGAGACGAAAAUGACGGUACCUGAAGAAGAAGCCCCGGCUAACUACGUGCCAGCCGCCGCGGUAAUACGUAGGGGGCAAGCGUUAUCCGGAUUUACUGGGUGGAAAGGGGGCGCAGACGGCGAUGCAAGCCAGGAGUCAAAGCCCGGGGCCCAACCCCGGGACUGCGCUUGGAACUGCGUGGCUGGAGUGCAGGAGGGGCAGGCGGAAUUCCUGGUGUAGCGGUGAAAUGCGUAGAUAUCAGGAGGAACACCGGUGGCGAAGGCGGCCUGCUGGACUGCAACUGACGUUGAGGCCCGAAAGCGUGGGGAGCAAACAGGAUUAGAUACCCCUGUAGUC